ACCAGACUCCGCUCCUUCGCGACCUCACGAGGUGAGAGCGCGGGCCAGGGCAACGUAGGGGGCCUGAUGCUGAGCCCUCUGAGCUCCGGUACGGCCGUGACCUUAGCCGAGUCGAGGUGAUGUUCCCGCCAGUGGGACGGCGAGCAGACGUCCUUCUUAUCUCAAGGGGCUCCAGUUGUGAUGGCCCCGUGUGGUGAAGGGCACAAGAAAUGGUCAGGGGUGCUCUCCUGUGCCCACUCCCACCCCCUGCGCAGUAGAAGGGGCUACAGGUCAGGGUGCGGGUGAGCUAGGGGCACACUGAAAGGUGAAGUCGACAGACCAUUACAUUCUUUUUCUUCAAGGUCCAUAGCAAGAGGCAGGGAGCAUCAGGCCUUUGGGCCUCCCUCCUCUCGGUAUCUGGGAGCCCAGAGGCCCAGAGGAACGGACUGUGGAUUCUAGGAACUUCUGCAUCAUGCAGCUAUCUCCCCGGGAUACUCUUGGCCAAGCAGCAGUCAGAAUAACAUGGUGGACAUCACCUGACACUUCGGCAUCAUCCCUGAUUCAUUUCUGCUGGACCAGAUGACUUCCCCCACAUCAUUCUAAGAGCCCAUGCAUUUUAAUGGAAGUCAGCAAACUGUACCUUGAGACAAAAGCCAGAAACAUAGAAUGGAAACAGAAGUGUUCAUGGGAACUAAGGACAGCUCCUAAUCCUCAGGAAGUGAUAAACGGACCUGAAGGAGGCAUGGAUCUCAAAGAUCUGCAAAACCUCUCUGGGGCUUUUUAGUAUAAAGGACUCCACACUGAUUUUCAAGCUUACCUUGGUAAUAAUCUGGUUGCAUUUAAUAGUUCUCAUUUGGGGAAUUGUGUGUGAA